UAUGGCUGAAAUGAGAUAGGUUACUAUUAAAAAAAAUUACAGCCUACAAAUUUCUAUGUCUAUUAAUUAGUUUAGAAUUGUAUCUAUGUCUCAGGAUACCUGAUAAAGAGAGAACACUAACAGAGGCUUGAGCACUUACCAUCUGAUCUGAUCCUACUAAGCAAAAGUAAUCACUUGGAAUAUUUAGAACUGGCAAGAAGAAGACGCACUUCUUAUUCUCAUAUUUACGCGUGACAUUGUUACUCAACAAGAAAUACUUGAAAAUUGUAGUUAAUAGAUGGUGCUAUCAUAUUAGAAAGUAUUUGUUUUGUAAUCUAUAGCAAGAAAAUCAUCUGAGUUCAGUAAGUAAGGGGGAUUUGCCAAAGUGUCCUCUCUUUUAUGUAAGGCAUCAUUUUUCUUCCUGAUUUUACAGAUGAACUUACAAAAGGGAAGAGAUUUUCAGUUCUUGGUUUCCAUGGAGAACUUUUCCAUCAUAAUUUAAUUUUGACUAUGCCUAUUUAAGCUUCUUCUAGAAUUGCUAUGUUUUAUUUUCAAAUUGGAUUUUAACAUGCAUGAUUCCAAAAAAAAAUAAUGUGCAGGUACUGGUCACGUUUGUUAUGGCAUUUUGGUUGCUGAUCGUAAUGGUUGCAUGGCUACUAUGACCAACUUGAAGAGAAUUACCACAUGAACAUAUGUUGUUGAGAUUUGUGUAAUACACAAAGCAAAUGCUUUUGCUUUCUCACAUAUAUGCAAUAUUAUCAACUUCUUCAUUGCAAUGACAUUGUACCACCCACUCACUAAUGUGAGAAAAUGUCUCUUAUAUAUUAUCCUAUUUUUUGUGAAAAUGAUACUCCUUUCAUGU
rnacentral:lncRNA from 1 species